GUAGGUGGCAAGCGUUGUCCGGAAUUAUUGGGCGUAAAGCGCGCGCAGGUGGGUUCUUUAAGUCUGAUGUGAAAGCCCCCGGGCUCAACCGGGGAGGGUCAUUGGAAACUGGGGAACUUGAGUGCAGGAGAGGAAAGUGGAAUUCCACGUGUAGCGGUGAAAUGCGUAGAUAUGUGGAGGAACACCAGUGGCGAAGGCGACUUUCUGGCCUGUAACUGACACUGAGGCGCGAAAGCGUGGGGAGCAAACAGGAUUAGAUACCCUGGUAGUCCACGCCGUAAACGAUGAGUGCUAAGUGUUGGGGGGUUUCCGCCCCUCAGUGCUGCAGCUAACGCGUUAAGCACUCCGCCUGGGGAGUACGGUCGCAAAGACUG
rnacentral:rRNA from 1 species